GGGAAGGCUCACCAUGGGAGCCCUGCAAUGGCCUGCGGGCACUCCCAUUGCUUCACUGAGUGGAGGAAAGGAGAGGCUGUACAGGACGCACAGUGGCAUCUGCUUCUGGGGCAGCUUCAGGAAGCUUCCGGUCAUGGUGGAAGGCAAAGGGGGAGCAGGGUAAGAAGAUGGUAUUGUAGUAGCCUCCACUGGGUGGACUUCUGGAAGGCGCAAGCGGCCCCUGAAGGGCCCUGGAGCCAUUUUAGAAUCGCUCAUAAUAAAACUGGAUGGAAACACAACAGAGUAUGUAAUUGAGUUCCUCGACUUCACAGAUGAGGAGACCGAGGGCCGUUCAACUAAGAUCACGCGGGUAGAAAGUGGCUGUCUUGUGGCUGUCCCGUGAUUCAACAUAGAUUUUUGGCAUCUAGUUUGGUGGCUUUUUUUUCUACCACACUUCUCAUCUGCCUUACGCCCGGCAGCCCUGAGCCUGACACGCCUACAGACUGAAGGAUGGAGGAGAGACAGGCUUGCAUCCUGCAGAGUCUAGCAGAGGCCCUGGGUCACUUUGCUUCCCAGAGGCACAUCCGAUUUCCCAUACUUGUUGUAAGAGAAACUAAAGUCGUCCAGUUCCAGUGGUGCUUCAGAGCCCAACAGACUCCCCCAGCGUGGCCAAUAUUCAGCUGGCCUGGGAUCUUCUGGGCGGUGCCACUGUGCUAGGCUGCAGACCUGACUUUUUGGCCGAAAAGACAAAAGAUGGUCUCUUCCACUCAUUAGUUAUGAGAGUUCUGACAACCCAUGUAACUUCUAUGAGCCCCCGUGUUCUUAUCUGUACAAUAAUCUAUACUCUUCUUACAUCAAUUAGUCGCUAGAACAAAAAUAAAAUGUCUGCUAUGAAAAGUGGGAGGGAAAGAAGGAAGAUUUGGGAAGAGUUGCAUGGG
rnacentral:lncRNA from 10 species